UACGUAGGGGGGCGAGCGUUUGUCCGGAUUUAUUGGGCGUAAAGAGCUCGUAGGCGGUUUGGUAAGUCGGGUGUGAAAUCUCCACGCUCAACGUGGAGGGGCCACUCGAUACUGCCAUGACUCGAGUCCGGUAGAGGAGUGUGGAAUUCCCGGUGUAGCAGUGAAAUGCGUAGAGAUCGGGAGGAACACCAGUGGCGAAGGCGACUACCUGGACCAGCACUGACACUGAGGCACGAAAGCGUGGGGAGCAAACAGG
rnacentral:rRNA from 1 species